AGGACGAACGCUGGCGGCGUGCUUAAUACAUGCAAGUCGAACGAGGUUCACGCAAGUGGGCCUAGUGGCGAACGGGUGAGUAACACGUGAGCAACCUGCCCCGAAGACCGGGAUAACAGUGGGAAACCGCUGCUAAUACCGGAUACCCCCACCGGAUCACAUGUUCUGGUGAGGAAAUGGAUUCCGCUUCGGGAGGGCUCGCGGCCUAUCAGCUUGUUGGUGGGGUAACGGCCUACCAAGGCUUCGACGGGUAGCUGGUCUGAGAGGACGAUCAGCCACACUGGGACUGAGACACGGCCCAGACUCCUACGGGAGGCAGCAGUAGGGAAUCUUGCGCAAUGGGCGAAAGCCUGACGCAGCAACGCCGCGUGAGGGAUGGAGGCCUUCGGGUUGUAAACCUCUUUCAGCAGGGACGAUUGUGACGGUACCUGCAGAAGAAGCCCCGGCAACUACGUGCCAGCAGCCGC
rnacentral:rRNA from 1 species